GACGAACGCUGGCGGCGGGCUUAACACAUGCAAGUCGAACGGAAAGGCCCUGCUUUUGUGGGGUGCUCGAGUGGCGAACGGGGGAGUAACACGUGAGUAACCUGCUCUUGACUUUGGGAUAACUUCAGGAAACUGGGGCUAAUACCGGAUAGGAGCUCCUGCUGCAUGGUGGGGGUUGGAAAGUUUCGGCGGGCGGGGAUGGACUCGCGGCUUAUCAGCUUGUUGGUGGGGUAGUGGCUUACCAAGGCUUUGACGGGUACGCGGCCCGAGAGGGUGACCGGCGUCAUUGGGACUGCGAUACGGCCCAGACUCCAACGGGGGGCAGCAGUCGGGAAUAUUGCCCAGUGGGAGCGAGCCUGAUGCAGAGACGUCGCGUGCGGGAUGACGGCUUUCGGGUUGUGAACCGCUUUAGCCUGUGACGAAGCGUGAGUGACGGUAAUGAGUAAAGAAGCACCGGCUAACUACGUG
rnacentral:rRNA from 1 species